UUGGAUAAUCUGUUUUUUCACGGGUGAACUUUUUUUUUCCUCGGAAGAUGCUAAUACAGUGUCUUUCCAUGUUAUUCUGCUCCCUGCAUUAUCUGUCUUUCCUCUGGGUUGUUUUUAACCUGUUUUCUCUCUUUCACAAUGGAGGCUUUCCUCAAAUUUCUAGCAAUCUUUGUUCACAUUUAACAAGAGGGUUCUAAAAGCUGACUGGAAGGUGUUUUAAUUACUACAGCACUGUCCAAGAGGAGCAUAAUGUGAGCCACAUAUGUAAUAUCAGAUUUUCUGGUAGCUACUUUUAAAAAGCAAAGCAGAUGAAGUUAACAAUAUAUUUUAUUUUACCCAAUAGAGGCAUAAUAUUAUUUCAACAUAUUUUAACCAGUAUAAAACUUAUUGAUGAGAUAUUUUAUAUUUCUUUCUGCAUUGUCUUCAAAACCCAGUGCAUAUUUUAUUAACAUAGCAGCACAUUUUAAUUCAUACACUAAAUUUUCAUCUGAAUUACUUGAUCCAUUUUUAGAUUUGUAAAACUUAGCAUUGAAAAGUGGAUUCACAUAGUUCUUGUAAACAUAUCUUGUUCUAAAUAUACUUAAAAUUUUCGAUAACUGCAUCAAGUAUCAGAAGAAUAACUUUGAUAUUUGCAUCCACAUUGACAAAACUGUUCAUCUUUUUAUUGGAAGAAUUGAUUUGAUUUUGAACCAAAAGCAUAUCAUUUUGAAAACUGUUAUUUGUUCAGGUAAAUUCAACUCAGUAUUAUCAUCAUCAAAUUUGGCAUAAGGCAUUACAUAAAAUGGAAACAAAGCUGAACUUAUUCAUAUCAACAAACCAGUCUUUACAUUUGUCUUUUUUUUUUGCAGUUAACUUGCAUAAAGCACUAUUGAUUACAUUUAAAAUUUGCAUAUUGACCCAAUGUUAGAAAAAUGUGUACAGUUGUCAUUUUUUUAUUUGUAUUACGAAAUGUUUCCUAAUAUUUAAUUUAUUUAUUA